rnacentral:tRNA from 1 species
GGAGGGUGUAGCUCAGUGGUAGAGCGUGUGCUUAGCAUGCACGAGGUCCUGGGUUCAAUCCUCAGCACCUCCG